rnacentral:rRNA from 1 species
CGGUAAUUCCAGCUCCAAUAGCGUAUAUUUAAGUUGUUGCAGUUAAAAAGCUCGUAGUCGGAUUUCGGCACACCUCGAUACUGUCUGCCAAAUGGUGUGUACGGUGUGGAGGGUGCUUCCUUCUAGUAAACCUCUCUGCUCUUUAUUGACGCGGAGAGCGUGCACUAGAUAUUUUACUUUGAAAAAAUUAGAGUGUUCAAAGCAGGCCUACGCUUCUGCAUAGCUUAGCAUGGAAUAAUAGAAUAGGACUCGGGUUCUAUUUUGUUGGUUUCUAGGACCAGAGUAAUGAUUAAUAGGGACAGUUGGGGGCAUUCAUAUUCCAUAGUCAGAGGUGAAAUUCUUGGAUUUACGGAAGAUGAACUUCUGCGAAAGCAUCUGCCAAGGAUGUUUUCAUUGAUCAAGAACGAAAGUUAGGGGAUCGAAGACGAUCAGAUACCGUCGUAGUCUUAACCAUAAACUAUGCCGACUAGGGAUCAGGAGGUGUUAUUUUUACGACCCUCUUGGCACCUUAUGAGAAAUCAAAGUCUUUGGGUUCCGGGGGGAGUAUGGUCGCAAGGCUGAAACUUAAAGGAAUUGACGGAAGGGCACCACCAGGAGUGGAGCCUGCGGCUUAAUUUGACUCAACACGGGAAAACUUACCAGGUCCAGACAUAGUUAGGAUUGACAGAUUGAGAGCUCUUUCUUGAUUCUAUGGGUGGUGGUGCAUGGCCGUUCUUAGUUGGUGGAGUGAUUUGUCAGGUUAAAUCCGAUACCGAACGAGACCUUAACAUAUUAAAUAGUAAGGGUAUCCUUUCGGAUGUUGCUUACAUAUUAGAGGGACUAGUGGAGUCUAACCAAUGGAAAUUCGAGACCAUAUCAGGUCUGUGAUGACAUUAGAUGUUCUGGGCUCCACGCGCGCUACACUGAUCCGCUGCAACGAGUUAUUUUCCCUCAACGAUAGGUGAGGGUAAUCUUCUGAACUCGCAUCGUGCAGGGGAUAGAUCAUUGCAAUUUUUAAUCUUGCAGGCGAGGAAUUGUAUACUAAGCUCGACUCAUCAGAUCGCGUUGAUUCCGUCCC